rnacentral:rRNA from 1 species
UACGUAGGCAGCAAGCGUUGUUCGGAGUUACUGGGCGUAAAGGGUGUGUAGGCGGUCUUCUAAGUUUGGUGUGAAAUCUCCCGGCUCAACUGGGAGGGUGCGCCGAAAACUGGGAGGCUAGAGUACUGGAUGGGAGAGUGGAAUUCCUGGUGUAGCGGUGAAAUGCGUAGAUAUCAGGAGGAACACCGGUGGUGUAGACGGCUCUCUGGACAGUAACUGACGCUGAGACACGAAAGCGUGGGUAGCAAACAGG